rnacentral:rRNA from 1 species
AACGAACGCUGGCGGCAGGCCUAACACAUGCAAGUCGAGCGGACCUUUCGGGGUCAGCGGCGGACGGGUGAGUAACGCGUGGGAAUAUGCCCUUCUCUACGGAAUAGUCCUGGGAAACUGGGGGUAAUACCGUAUACGCCCUUUGGGGGAAAGAUUUAUCGGGGAAGGAUUAGCCCGCGUUGGAUUAGGUAGUUGGUGGGGUAAUGGCCUACCAAGCCGACGAUCCAUAGCUGGUUUGAGAGGAUGAUCAGCCACACUGGGACUGAGACACGGCCCAGACUCCUACGGGAAGCAGCAGUGGGGAAUCUUAGACAAUGGGGGCGACCCUGAUCUAGCCAUGCCGCGUGAGUGAUGAAGGCCUUAGGGUUGUAAAGCUCUUUCAGCUGGGAAGAUAAUGACGGUACCAGCAGAAGAAGCCCCGGCUAACUCCGUG